rnacentral:lncRNA from 1 species
AUAAAUUUAUGUUCUGAGAAUGUAUCUUAUAACCAAUUUAUCCUGCUUAGGAUGAUAUUCUGUUAAACCAAAAUCUAUUAUAUCAUUAUUUAAUAUAUCCAUGCAUGCUGAUUUUAGUAUUCCUAUCCUCACCCACCUAGCUAGUUGACCAUGGUUUAUACAUAAUUUGACUUUCGCAGCCAUCAAAAGUAAUAAUCACAAAAACCAUCUGAAUAAAUCACGGAUGUUUGUUAGUCUUAGUAUAGAUUUGUUGUGUUUGUUAGCUUUUGCUAGAUUUUUUGUGUUUGUUUGCUUUUUCUAGGUCUUGUUGUAAUGAAACAAUUGCCCUUUCUCUUCCAUUAUUUCUUUUAGUUAUACAUUUACUAAAAUUAGAUGGACUUGUCUUUAGAUAUUUCACGUAUUUACUCGAUCCUUUAUCCACUUAACAGGCACUACUAGAGAAGAAUCCAUCUAUUACUCAAGGACCAGAUGGUAUUGUUACAUAGUUUCAUAUAGUUUUCAUAUUGUGAUUCAAAUUUGGCAGUACUCUCAUCGAUUCUAUCAGAGAUCGAGCAAUUUGAUGGUUUUUUUAGAUUCUUUCUCUUUCUAUAAUCUUUCUUUAGUUUGCAUUAUUUCUAUAACCUUCCCAUGAAUAUUUUUUCUUAGCUUGAUCACUAUUAAGGAUAUUUUUGGAAGAAGCUACGGAAAAUUCACAACUUAUUAGCUAUUGACUUUAGGGAAAUCUAAAAAGCCUAUAUGAAAUAAAUUUGUAUACCCCAUUUAUGACUGACUAAUCUUACAAAACAUUGUAAUUAGCUUAAGGAACAUUUAUAACCUUCUCUCCUUCCAUUAGUAUUAGGCUAUCUGCCGAUGGUGGUUUCGGAACCUCAUUUAAAAUUCUUUUGUUUCCCCUGAAUUGAAGGUAUAUCCAGGGAUGCAUGAAACUAAUGUUUUAAUUUAUCAUAAUAAACGAUUAAAGCAAAAUUUACUCUAUGCUGGUUGAGAUUGAACAUUGUGUGCAUUUUGGUUCUAUCACACUAUUUUCAUGCAUCAUGUACUUUACAUUAAGCAAUUGAUAUUUCUUUAGUUGGACGAUUUUGGGUAACUGAGAUUGUUGAUGCUCCUAUGUUACAGAAUGGCUUCUUUUAGAGACAAAUCAAUGGAUAAAUGGCAGAGGAAGACACAGUUGACAACUGGUGCUGCAGCUAUUAAAGGCAAAUUUCAAGCAUUUAUAAACAAUUGUUGGAACUAAAUUAUUGUAACUUAAUGUUUGAUACAGUAGUUAGCCUUCUCUGAAGAAGAUUGUAAUUAUUGUAAUUAUAAUGUGAAUGAUUUUAAAUCAUGUAUAC